rnacentral:snRNA from 1 species
AUCACUUCUUGGCCUUUUGGCUAAGAUCAAGUGUAGUAUCUGUUUUUAUCAAAUGAAGACACUCCCCCACCCCCAGCGAAAACAAGCUGAGCGGAGACUCUUGGGAUGUCUAGCCUUAUCUUCCCGAAGAGUUUAAAAGUA